UACGUAGGGGGCGAGCGUUGUCCGGAGUUACUGGGCGUAAAGCGCACGCAGGCGGUCUGCUAAGUUUGGAGUGACAGUUGGUGGCUCAACCACCAAAGUGCUUCGAAAACUGACAGACUUGAGGGCUUCAGAGGGACACGGAAUUCCGGGUGGAGUGGUGAAAUGCGUAGAGAUCCGGAGGAACACCAAAGGCGAAGGCAGUGUCCUGGGGAGUACCUGACGCUCAGGUGCGAAAGCCAGGGGAGCGAACGGG
rnacentral:rRNA from 1 species